rnacentral:lncRNA from 1 species
CAGUGCUCGGCUUUGUCAUCCACGGUCAAGAAAUUCUCGUGGCUGAGUCUCAUGUUGGUCGGUGAUAGAGCACAGAGCGACCCCAUCUGUUGACAGCGUGGUUACACCUCUCAAAAACAGGAUUCAAAGAACCCUUAUUUGAAGGUGUGAAGUCAAAGCUGAUAAAAGGUAAAGACUUUCAUGCAGAA